rfam:Trichomalopsis sarcophagae strain Alberta scaffold1932, whole genome shotgun sequence.
AUAGACGUUAGCUAAGUGGUUAGAGCACAGGCCUCUGGCUCUCGGGUCCGCGAGUUCGAGUCCCGUCGUCUACU